UACGUGGGUGGCGAGCGUUGUCCGGAUUUACUGGGCGUAAAGGGAGCGUAGGCGGACUUUUAAGUGAGAUGUGAAAUACCCGGGCUUAACUUGGGUGCUGCAUUUCAAACUGGAAGUCUAGAGUGCAGGAGAGGAGAAUGGAAUUCCUAGUGUAGCGGUGAAAUGCGUAGAGAUUAGGAAGAACACCAGUGGCGAAGGCGAUUCUCUGGACUGUAACUGACGCUGAGGCUCGAAAGCGUGGGGAGCAAACAGGAUUAGAUACCCUGGUA
rnacentral:rRNA from 1 species